GGUCAAUCUUAAAUGCUGUAUAGGAGGAUCUCAUUGAGAAGAUAUCAUUUGAGCAAAGAUGUAAAGCAAGGGAGGGAAUGAGUCAGUGGCUACAUAGCGAGAGUGUCCUAGGCAGAGGAAACAGCUUCUACAAAAGCCCUGAAGCAAGAGAAUGUUUGAAGUGUUCAAGAAUAAACAGGAGAUGCAGAAUGAAUGGAAUUGAGAGUGAGUGAGGCAGUCGGAUACAAGAGAGACUAAUAUGGGGCAGCACUGAAGACUGCUGACAGCAGCCACAUGAGUGAGCUCAGAGUGGACACAACAGCCCCUUCAGAGGCUGCAGGGAUGGCAGACAGCCUGACUGCAAUGUCGUGAAAGAUGCUGAGGCAGAACCAUGCAGCAAAGUCAUUCCCAGAUUCCUGACUCUCAGAAAAUUGUUACUUUAGAGAAGUCUGAACUUGCCCUUUUUUUCAUCUUUAUGCCUGAGGAAAUUUUUCUUUAUCAUCAAAGAACUCUGAGAAUUGAUGGGCACUGUGUUAGAGCAAGUGGGAAGUAUAGACACAGCUUCCCAUGUUAAGCACGAGCAAGAAGAAAAUAAUUUGAAUGGAAACUAUUCAAAUAUAUCACAGUGAUCAAAGAUUUAAAAGUGGAUGAAAAGAGACAGCUCAAGAACCCAAUUCAGAAGACAGCAUAGCUCAAGGAAACUCACACCCUUCAACACUGGUCCACCCUGGAAGUUGGAAAGAAAUAUCUUCACUGACAUGAGAACAACAUAUUUGCCUAAUGUUUGUCAUUUUUAUUUUAAAAAACACAUUUCCUUCAUGUGCAAUUUUAAAUUAUAAUUGGAUGUAUAAUAUCUCGAGACCCUGGCUUUUUCUUUAAGCACAAUUUCUCCUUUUUUAUUACAUAAAAAGUAAUGAGAAAAAUAGAUAUUCA
rnacentral:lncRNA from 10 species